rnacentral:rRNA from 1 species
AACGAACGCUGGCGGCAUGCCUAACACAUGCAAGUCGAACGAGACCUUCGGGUCUAGUGGCGCACGGGUGCGUAACGCGUGGGAACCUGCCCUUAGGUUCGGAAUAACUCCCCGAAAGGGGUGCUAAUACCGGAUAAUGUCUUCGGACCAAAGAUUUAUCGCCUUUGGAUGGGCCCGCGUUGGAUUAGCUAGUUGGUAGGGUAAAAGCCUACCAAGGCGACGAUCCAUAGCUGGUCUGAGAGGAGGAUCAGCCACACUGGGACUGAGACACGGCCCAGAAUCCUACGGGAGGCAGCAGUGGGGAAUAUUGGACAAUGGGCGAAAGCCUGAUCCAGCAAUGCCGCGUGAGUGAUGAAGGCCUUAGGGUUGUAAAGCUCUUUUACCCGGGAUGAUAAUGACAGUACCGGGAGAAUAAGCUCCGGCUAACUCCGUG